AGAGUUUGAUCCUGGCUCAGAAUGAACGCUGGCGGCAUGGAUUAGGCAUGCAAGUCGAGCGCGAAAGUUUCCUUCGGGAAGCAAGUAGAGCGGCGUAAGGGUGAGUAACGCGUGAGUAACCUGCCCCUGACUCCGGGACAGCCCUGGGAAACCGGGAUUAAUACCGGAUGCCGUUGUGCCGCAAGGCAUAACGAAAGAUUGAGUUCGGUCGGGGAUGGGCUCGCGUCCCAUUAGCUGGUUAGUGAGGUAACGGCUCACCAAGGCCGAGACGGGUAGCUGGUCUGAGAGGAUGGUCAGCCACACUGGGACUGAGACACUGCCCAGACUCCUACGGGAGGCUGCAGUCGAGAAUCUUCCGCAAUGGGCGAAAGCCUGACGGAGCGAUGCCGCGUGAGGGAUGAAGGCCUUCGGGUUGUAAACCUCUGUCACCCGGGACGAAGAAGUGACGGUACCGGGAGAGGAAGCCACGGCUAACUACGUGCCAGCAGCCGCGGUAAUACGUAGGUGGCGAGCGUUAUUCGGAUUUACUGGGCGUAAAGGGUUCGUAGGGGGUCUGCCAAGUCUGGUGUGAAAUCCCGCAGCUCAACUGCGGACGUGCACUGGAUACUGGCGAACUAGAGUUCAUGAGGGGAGAGCGGAAUUCCUGGUGUAGCGGUGGAAUGCGUAGAUAUCAGGAAGAACACCGGCGGCGAAGGCGGCUCUCUGGCAUGAAACUGACCCUGAGGAACGAAAGCGUGGGUAGCAAACAGGAUUAGAUACCCUGGUAGUCCACGCUGUAAACGUUGUGCACUAGAUGUGGGCGGUACUUCGGUGCUGUCCGUGUCCCAGCUAACGCGAUAAGUGCACCGCCUGGGGACUACGGCCGCAAGGCUAAAACUCAAAGGAAUUGACGGGGGCCCGCACAAGCGGUGGAGCAUGUGGCUUAAUUCGAGGCAACGCGAAGAACCUUACCUGGACUUGACAUACACCGGACCGCCUGUGAAAGCAGGCUUUUUUCUUCGGAAACCGGUAUACAGGUGCUGCAUGGCUGUCGUCAGCUCGUGCCGUGAGGUGUUCGGUUAAGUCCGGCAACGAGCGCAACCCAUGUGAUCAGUUGCCAGCAGGUGAAGCUGGGCACUCUGGUCAGACUGCCCGUGUCAAGCGGGAGGAAGGCGUGGAUGACGUCAAGUCCGUAUGGCCCUUACGUCCAGGGCUGCACACGUGCUACAAUGGGCGGUACAGUGAGAUGCAAAGCCGCGAGGUGGAGCAAAUCUCCAAAACCGUCCCCAGUUCGGAUUGGAGUCUGCAACUCGACUCCAUGAAGCCGGAAUCGCUAGUAAAGGCGUAUCAGCAACGACGCCUUGAAUACGUUCCCGGGCCUUGUACACACCGCCCGUCACAUCAUGGAAGCUGGCUGCACCCGAAGUCCGCGGUCCAACCCUGCUUGCAGGGAGGAAGCGGCCGAAGGUGUGUCCAGUAACUGGGAUGAAGUCGGAACAAGGUA
rnacentral:rRNA from 1 species